rnacentral:tRNA from 1 species
GCCGAGGUGGUGAAAUUGGUAGACACAAGGGACUUAAAAUCCCUCGACUGGAAACAGUCGUGCCGGUUCGAUUCCGGUCCUCGGCA